rnacentral:rRNA from 1 species
UACGUAGGGUGCAAGCGUUGUCCGGAAUUAUUGGGCGUAAAGAGCUCGUAGGCGGUUUGUCGCGUCUGCUGUGAAAACUCAGGGCUUAACCCUGAGCCUGCAGUGGGUACGGGCAGACUAGAGUGUGGUAGGGGAGAUCGGAAUUCCUGGUGUAGCGGUGGAAUGCGCAGAUAUCAGGAGGAACACCGGUGGCGAAGGCGGGUCUCUGGGCCGUAACUGACGCUGAGGAGCGAAAGCGUGGGGAGCAAACAGG